UUAAUCUCAUUCACAUACACACACACACACAUCUUUCUGACAUUCAGACAACAUCUACAGCACUGAUUAUAUAAGCCAUAAUCGAUAAGAAAUGAACGGGAAGCUGAAGAUCAAAGUUUUGGCACAAAAU